UACGUAGGCAGCAAGCGUUGUUCGGAAUUACUGGGCGUAAAGAGUGUGUAGGCGGUGCUCUAAGUUCGGUGUGAAAUCUCCUGGCUCAACCGGGGAAGGGGCGCCGAUACGACCGACCUGGAGGAACGUAGGGGGAGCUGGAACUUCCGGUGGAGCGGUGAAAUGCGUUGAGAUCGGAAGGAACGCCCGUGGCGAAAGCGAGCUCCUGGACGUUUUCUGACGCUGAGACGCGAAAGCCAGGGGAGCGAACGGG
rnacentral:rRNA from 1 species